UGAUGAACUCUUUUCUAAAUAUUUUUAGGAAACAAAUGUCCUGGGCUUUAAAGGACCUCGUAAGAUGAGUGUGAUCAUACCAGGAAUGAAUAUGGACCAUGAAAGAGUUUCCAUCAGACCGAGAAAUGAACACGAGACGCUGCUUGCAAGAUGGCAGAACAAAAACACAGAGAGUGUCAUUGAGCUGCAUAACAAAACUCCCGUCUGGAACGAUGACACCCAGUCCUAUGUUUUAAAUUUCCAUGGUCGAGUCACACAGGCCUCAGUGAAAAACUUCCAGAUUAUUCAUGAUAAUGAUCCUGAGUAUAUAGUGAUGCAGUUUGGCCGCGUGGCUGAGGACGUGUUCACCAUGGACUACAACUACCCCAUGUGCGCUCUACAAGCCUUUGCUAUUGCCCUUUCAAGUUUUGACAGCAAGCUGGCUUGUGAGUAAAGGGGCAUGGGAGAGCAUCCUCUCAGAGGAAUCGGUUUGCCAUAUGAUUCCCAAUUCCUGCCGGUGUCACUUAUGGUCCAUACUAAGGUCAGGGAGAAUGCAGUUGUGGAGGACCACUGGAUUGCUGGAGAGAAAUUUAAAAGGAACCUUCUAAAAAUUCAGGACAUUCAGGAAAUAAUGCUUUCCUUUUUUUUCUUUUUCUGUCAUAUUUUUUUCUGGAAGCGGCAUCGAGUUUGUGUAAAUAGAAGUUCUAUCUCAUGUCCUUGAUUAUGUUCUGGAGAUGUGCCAUGAUAUACUGUACCGUGGCUCCAGUAGCACCAUUAUAACGGUGUGUCUUUUCUAAAUCCAGAAAGCGCGCUCUCAACAAAUUUCUUUUUACAUUUUAAGAAUUAUUCCGAGGCUGCAAUCUCAAGGUUGCAUUCCUACAUCGAAUAAUCAGAACUUCACUUCAUCCAUCAUGAAAGAAAGAUCACAAAAAAAAAUAAUGCACUUUUUUUGCAUUUGUAAGGAUCUCAUGUAGCUUACGGCCAAGUCUGAGGGUUGAAAUCCUAUCUGGACUGAACUUGAUGCAUCACUAUUAUACAUGUAGAGAAGGGCACGAUGAAUUUUAAUCACAGUAGGAGGAAAAGGAGAAGUAGAAAGCACAAAAUAAUGUUGCACAAGUCACUUAAAAUCAAAGCUGUCUUUAUGUUUUAACAUCUAUAUGCUUUUUAAUUUGUUUCAAAUGAAAAUGUAUGGGGGAGUACAGAAAAGGGAAAGCUCUAGAUGCCGAGAAAUCAAAACGUAAGUUGAAUUUGGCAUGUUGCGUGUUGGGAAUUUAUAGCCUUGUAUUGCUGUGGUGAUUCAAACAUAUUUUGUAUGAAGUGAUACAAACAGUUGGGUAAAGGCUCUCUGCAGAGAAUCUUCUUAUUUGAAGGAGGCUGUGUAAAGCUGAGGAAGGUAAAUGGAAAAAUUUUAUUAAAUUUGUCUGGCCUUUUGCGAUUUCACUAUUUGUUGACUGCAUUUUUUGAACUUUCAGCAACAACCACUUUUCAUAUUUAUUUCCCACUGUAAUUACACCUGAAACCAGUUGAAACUGUGUAUGCUGUUCUGUGAUGUAAACGUGCCAGCUACUGAGCUAAAGCCCUCUAGGCGAAUGUAGCGUACGCUGCAUACAAAUCAGAUGUUGGAAGGACACCGAGUAGCUUAAAAUAGUCUGAGGUUUUUGUCUCAUUUUUUCUGAUUUCAAUGGGAUAUAUAAAGAAAUACCAUUUCAAAACACAAGCGAAGAAUGAGCUUCUCUUCUUUCCUAAAUGUCUUAGAAGCCAAGAGCUGCAACUGAAAGCACAGCAUAAAGCAACCUUUAAAAAAAAAAAAAAUCUUUUUGCCAUUGUUCCAUAUAAUGUAAUUGCCAAUGACAUGUGAAGUAACAGGAUCUAUAUGUCGUUCACCAGAAAGGUAUUGAAAUGUGAGUAAAGAGCAAAAGCAGUUGUAUUUUAUACUGUGUGUACUCAGAUCCACCUUUUUACUCUUUACGGCCUUUACUUGGUUGCACAACCAAAGAUUACAUAAGGAGAAAAUGAGAUCAAAUCUGCUUGUCUCGUAGCUGUCAGCUCCUUUUAUACGAUAGAGGCAGGCCAUAAGGAGUGGUUGUGCCAUCUGGACUGUAUAAUUUCAACUAAUAAAAGAAAUAUGCUGUCUUCUUCACGUUUUGCCUUCAGGUCUCCUUCCCAGUAUACGGGCAAGAAAAUUUCAGAUAGAUAAGGGAUGGAAAUAAGUAAUGCUGUCAUUUUUGUCUAAUAUUUCUUUUCUAUGAGAAAACUCUGCUGGCUUUGAGCAGUGUGUUGUUGAUGGACUCAGCCUGUCAAAUGUCAUCUUUAAAUAACAGGAGGCUCUGUCAUUUUUUCAGAUCUCUUUACAAGAAGCUUUUCCAGGCAGUGGUAUGAAGUGGAAAGGCACCUUUUGUUUGAGAGAAAAGAGCAGUCCGUUCCCUCAAAGAACAUUCAAAAUGAUGAGUCAUGAGCUGAUGUCUGAUAGUGAGCACUUUGGACAUGGAUGCUUUCUUUUUCUGUAUAUUCUGUGGUUUCCCACUGCCUCACAUCCUCAUCCAUGAUCUCACUUUGGCUUUUAACAGAGGGGGCUCUUAUGCCUUUGGUUACUUUCCAUCAGUCUUCAAAAAUGAGCUCCAGUGAAAAGCAGAAUUUUUGCUUGAACUACUGUAAAAAGAGACAGACAGGAAUUCUUGGUGCUGGUAUGUAGGCCCGUUCUGGGUUUCAAGAACUCUGCAGCAUGUGGAUGGUUGAACGUGUGACUUUAAUUCUGUGGAUCACCACUCCCGUGUUGCCUUUAUAGCCUGGGAAAGUGACAUCUGACAUAGUUUUCUGCCACUCUGUGCACAAAACUCUGUUAAAGUAACUAAGCGUCUUGUGGUGCAAAUAUACAGUGUGUUGGCUUUGAGAGCAGAGUUGGUUAAGGAGAGGUUAUUUUUAAUCCAGAUCUUAACAGUGGUCUCACUUGUACCCUGACCCAGAGGGAACUGGCACGGAAGCUUGUGCACAAGAGUGAGAAUAAGGGGCAGGGGAAGGGCAGAGUUCAGCAUCUUGGGAUAGCUUUGCUGCCAGCACAUUGUGUAACCUCACUCUCACUGUGUAUUCUUUCCAGGCCAGGUAAUUUUUUUAAUCUGUAAUGCCAGGAGGAAGGUGGUGCCUCAAACUCCCAUCAUCGUAACAGAAUCAGUCACACAGGGACAUCAGCCAACAAGCUGCUGAGAAAGAAGUGCCCCACGUAAAUUUAGGUCACUACAGAGAGGUGUUGACCUGAGACCAACAGCAAUAUUUGUGCUGUGUGGCCUUUGCCAAACCCCUGACUCCUCAUGGUUGUUGAGUGCAGUGCUCCUUUCCUUCACUUGACUGUUGCCCUCCGCUCCAGAAGCAGUUGCUCAUAAUUUGGACUAGUACCUGUUUAAUUUCUGGUGGGCACUUUCUGAUGAAGGGCCCUGCUGCUUAGCAAUGCCAGCUGAUAUUACAAGUUUUCCAGCACAUCUGCAGAUUUUGUUUUGCUAACUUAGUAAAGUCACAGCAGGUUCUGUCUGAGUCGUGCCUGAGACUGCACACUCCCCACAGUUAGAUUGUCCUCCAUAGCAGCAAUAUAUCUUGGAAUCAGUAUGUAUUUUCAGACAUAUGUGCAUCUGAAAGUAACACAGGAGUAUUUAGUGGCAUACUCAUAUUGGCUGUAGCUUCUGGAGGGGCUGCACAUUAAUGUGCAACAGAACAUAAUCUUGUUUACUCAGUGUGACAAAGAGUAGAAUGGUACCGAGCUGUGUAUUUCCUUCACACAGUCCUAGUGAGUGUUUGGAUACAGUAAAUUUAAUAUUAAACUCCUGCUAUUGAUAUUUUUUGCAUCUGCUGUUGAUUUUGACAGAGAGCUGUAAACAAAUUCCUUGCCUGAAUUGCUUAUAGGCAAAUACUGCACGCUUUAAUGAAGUUCUUAAUCUAACUUGUCACUCUGUGUACAUCAAACAGUUUCUUCCUGGCCCUUUAUCUAAUUUUCUUCAUCUCUGAUGUUCUGUUCCUUCUCAUUCUGUUCACAAUCCCUUUAUCUUUUCUUCAGGGACGUGCAACUCAAAAGUGUUUAUUUUGACAAUAUUCCUCAGUGAUCUCUCCACAGAUGAAUAAUGCCUUUGGUGCACAUCCAGUGAUGCUCCCACAAUAAAAGCCUUAUCACAGGGGGGAAUUUGGCCCUUUGGCUUUUGAGUGGAGUAAAUUAACACAUUAAAAAGGAGCAGAUAGAAAAGCUUGCCUAAAAUGUAAUCGCAAUUUCUCUCAGUAAACAUUGGGUAAACCAGAGUUUCCAAAUCAUUGGUUGCAAAUCAAUGAGCAGAGCUGUCCACAAGCCUGGAGGCAGACUGUUAUACAAAUUCCCUUUGUAGUGCUGCCUUAUUUUUCUUUUCAAAAGGCUUAAAGCCAUUCUGUGAACUGAAAUGUGCCAGUGCCCUAAAACAGUUCGUUUUCUAGAAGCUAAACACCACUCUGUUCCUUUUGUAGGAUAUGUGGCACAUAAAGGUGCACUCAUCCCAUAAAACAGGGAUGUUGUAGCACACUGUUAGAGAUUCUGAUGCUAAGAAGGCUGUAAGAAUGGUUUUGCUAUGACUGGGCAGAUCUCACUAUUCUUGCUGCCUUACCAUAGUGCCACAGACCGUAUCCUUACGAGGGAAUGAAAGUGAAAGAGAUCUGGUGGAAAGAGCUGUUCACAAAAUCUGGUAGCUGCACGACUGAAAAAUAUUACUGUGGACUCAGAUGACAUUGUGGGGAACCAGUGCCAGACUUUCUGGUUUUUUGAUCCCUUUGGAUAAACAAAGAAGUAAGGGGGACUUACUUUCAACAAGCCCAGGCAUCACUGAGGUCUCUAUAAGUGCUGAGUGUCAGACCUCCAUUUUUACCUCUAAAUAUUUGAUCCUGUGGAAUUCUAACUGCUUCCCCCAGCUAUCACAUUGCUCUCCUACACCUGUAUUUGCAAGCUUUUCCUUUUUUUAGAGAAGCACAUCCUCACCAGUAAAAUAUCUUUAUUUGGCAAAUAAGGAUGGCACAGAACAGCAGUCACCUUUACUAGAAUUAGGUGCUGACAGCUCUCAGGUAUUUCAAAUGCUCUUAUUUUUAUUACUAGACGACAAGAAUUACACAUAUAAGGCUUGAACUAAUCUUACUACAGAUAAUGUGCUACUUUGUGAACCUGUGUUGCUUCUGUUCUUCAUAUGAAAUAUACCUUCUGGGGUUCUGCUUUGUAAGUGUUCAAAGUUAAUUGUGUGAAUAUUCUUUCUGUUCUUGCCAGGGAACUAAGCAAAGGAUUUGCACAGCUCUCUCACUCUGUUGGUGUUUUGCAUUGAAUGAUGGCCCAGUAACGAUGCCUGUGUAUUGGAUGAUAAUGCAUUUCUAUGUUGUUUUCAUUUAACUGCCUCGAAAUUUUAGAUUCCUCCUUUUCAGUAAGGGCAUGUUUACCCAUACUGGCAAUGAAAAGACUUGAAUUAGCAUCCUGAAACCGUUUAAUGAGUGCAGUACGCUGGUGUGCUAAAUUGCUUUAGGAAGAGGACAUAAUUCAGAAAAAAUAUGCUUACGUUCUUGAGGGGAAAAAAAAAGUUCACUUUAUAAAUUGGUUACAUCUAUACCAGCAAUUUGAAAAUUACUCUCUAUGUUUUUUCCCCCCCUUAGAUGUGACUCAGCUGCUCAAACCUGAGUGGUUAGGGCAGACUUUGAUUCCAUCAUCGUGCACAGCUGAUAAAAAACAAGUCUCAUAACUUCAGGCUACCUUUAUAGUCUCAUGGGAUGCUUACAGAGCAGUCUGUUCCCCACAUUUGUCCCUAUAACUCUGUGUUUUCUACUGAGGUUAUCCCAGCUGGCACAAUGCCAUUAGAAGUAUCAGUAAUUUAUAGAGUGAACUUACUGAAACUAAUAAUGUUGGCUAUAAACCCGCUUAUAGAUUUUAGCAUUAAAAUCAAGCUAAUUUUAAAGCUUACGGUUUGGAUAGCAUUUCUGCAGGAUUUUCUUUCCUUAAGCUUGUCUUGAAUGUUGGGCUCUCACAUAAGUAGUCAGCUCCUGACCCCAUUCCAUACUGCAUCAGGGACUCGGCGUUAGGUCUGACCAUACAGACCUCCCCGCUCAGGUGGCACCACUUUGCUUUUAGGGAGCUUUCUGUUGACAGCUUUUCUUACUGCACUAUCUUUCAAUACAUCUUGGCACCAGUCUGUUAUUAGGUCAGUAAGUGUCAGCCUUAAAAAAAAUAUCCAGAAAAUUCUCGUCAGGCAAUUGAAAUAAUUACACUAAAAUCAAGUUUCAUGCAUAUUAGACGUUAGGAUGGAGUCUAAGAACAAAGAUGAGGGCUGUGUAAGUGUCAGGAACAGGAAAGUUGCUCAGCAACUCAAUUAAAUUGGGCCAUAGAGAUUUUACUUUCACUUAGCAAAAAUCAGUGAGGUUCUGUUUCACUUCUCACUGUAUUUAUAGGAAAAUUUGGUGUGCUGUUGCGUAGGCUGAAUAUGAACAAAUGUAUUGUAACAGACAUACAGUUCAAAGUAGGGCUACAGCAGUGAUGCUUACUGUUACAAGCACUGUAACAGGGUUGUCUUCAAAAGCUGAGUGUGGAACAUGGCUCUGCAGCUACAAUGGAUUUUGUUAGCCAUUGCAUUCAGUGACACUAUGACAGGUUUGGCCCAUCAGCCUGAGGCUCUGUGACAACAGCACUGGUUAUUCUGCUUUUUUGAUUACGUAGCAUGUGUCUGUGAGGGUGAAUUCCUCUUUGGCAUCACUGCAAAUCCCUUCUUGCAGCUUGUAGAUACUUUUUAACAUCUUAGCAAUAUGUGUUACUGGGAUUUCAUCAUUUUCACUUAAGAUCGCUGACAUUUAUCCAUCUGUAAUUUUCUCGUUUCAAGUUUAUACAGGUUUUUCCAUAUGGGGACUCUCAAGAAAGUUGGUAAAACCUAUGUCAGUGAAUUAAAGCGCGUUAAAUCCCUGUGUGUAUGUUCUCCUUUCAAAGUAGGGUGGCCUUUAAUUCGGGUUGCAUAAUCCUCAGCGGGAGGAUUCAUCACGUUGCACGGUUCAAGGUUGUUGGUGAAUGUAAGGCACUGAGUGUGUUUCUGGCCGAGGCACUGGAGAAUAUCUGCAAAAGGAUUCUCCUUUCUGUAUUCUCAGGGUGGUGGUUACAGCAUACAGUGCAGCACCUCUAAUAGCUGCCUCCUUGAGCUGUAGUCACAAAGCUCAGUACCUACGCACUACAGGCCUCAUUUCUGAAGCAGUCCUCUUUUUUACCAUAGUGGUUUUCAGCCCUCUAUGAAUAACUGACAGCUGCAUAAUUAAUUUAAGCUUCCUGGGAUUGUUGUAGAUGCCUGGGACUGUAUGUAAAAGUGGUGCUUUAGUGGUAUAACAGAGCAAGAUGUUAAGAGCAUGAUGUAAGCACACCAGCAUGAUCAGGUUUAUUUUUACAGUGCCCAUCACAGGUGUGCCUGUUCUUUAGUAAGAAAAUAAUCAUCCUUUCUCUUUUUCUUCUUCAUUUCUAUCUGCCUGGAUCUGGAGGACAAGCACCCAUUUUAGCACUCAUGCAAGCAGCCACCAUGUACAGAAACAUGCACACAGCAUAUUUGUUAUGGAUGGGUUUAUCACUAAGCAGUGCCACCGUUACAUGCUUACUGUCAUUCUGCCAUGUAACUGUGCAUGUUUUCCCUGUGUGCUCUUUCCCACCCUGUGUGUUGUCGCCAGUCAGAGGACAUUGCUGCACAGCUGUGCAUGGAAGCUUAGAAAAGAACCUGCAGGACUGAAGCCGCAGAGAUACAGCUCUCCUGAUCCUGAAGAAAUAGCGCCUUCCGAAGGCAGAGAUUGGGACCUGUGGUUCGGUUAACUUUGUAGAACUUUCCAGGCCUUUGCGUUGCACGUAAGAAGAUAACACUUCUUCAUUAUACUUCUUGCACUAUCUUCAGCCCACAGCCCAAACAAAGGAACAUUAAGUCAAAGGAGCACAGAAAUAGGAAACAAACCAGAAGUGAAAACAAGCUGCCUUUACAGGUCUGGAGAUGCACCAGCACCCAAGCGGGGCAGUGGUUCUGUGACAACAGGGUGAUUUCUGGGCAGAGAAUUAACAUCCUGCUUGGCAUCCCUCAGAGUGAGUAAUGCAUUUCAGUACUUGAUGGUAGACUGUGGUGGUCAUUGGUUUUGUUGCAUUAUGUCUGUCCGUAGCAACUGUUUUUCUCUUGUGCAGCUUUACUUAUUUCAUUACGAUGACAUUUUCACCCAUUUAUUUCACGUUAGGGAUUAAUCCAAAGCCUCGUGUAACUGGAAGUUUCCAUCUAGCUUCUGUUGUCCCUUUGUGUCCCUCCAUCAUGCCAUAGGUACACGUCACCUCAAGAGUCCUUACGUUUUCUUCUUGAUAGGCUUCUCAGAAAUCAGGCAUUAUUGGCAUAAAGACUUCUGCACAGGGGCUUAGCAGGAAGCAAGGAUUUUGCCUAUACCUUGUUCACUAAAAGGAGUAUCUAAAAUGUCAGUCAGGGAGGAAGUUGCCCUUUUCUAUUAAACAUGCCAUAAAAUUAUUUGAUGUUACUAUUGUGAUUGAGACACUUAGAAAAACAAAACAUUGUUAAUAGCUGUCCAUGUUUUAAGGAAUAAUACUGAAGAAUGCACAAGAAUUCCGAAUCACAUACAGAGUUUCACUAAGAAACAAGGUCUGUAAGAAGCAAACCUUAUUCAGUGAAUUACUAGAAAACAUGUAUUGAGAAAGAUAAAUGCUGGAGCUUUGUUAAUCUUAGAAUCUAUAAAGUGUACAAUUCUCUACUUGUGAUUGAAACUAUUUCAAAUUAAAAAAUCUUGUACUCAGUGACAUGAAAAUAAGGUCACCCUCAUGAGAUGCAUAGUAUAAAGAAGGCACAGAGACCUGCUCUGCAUGGCAGGAUUCUCAUUAUUAGGAGUAGGUUUAAUUUAUGAUUUACUCAACAUUUUCCAAAGGUAUGUAAUGCUAGUCUAUGUGUUCUACACACACACACAUUACAUAGUCUUAAAAUUCUAUUAGUCUUUGGUACGGAUUAAUUGAUCUUCCUUUCCACCGUCUGCACAAUGAAAUAAUUUAUUAAUUUGUUUUCAAGAAAAUUAUCGCAAGAUACCCAUAAAAGACUAUCAUUUGAUUCCUCUUCUAAAACCAUUCUGAACAAGUGAAAUCUUUAUGUGGAGCAGCUUAAAAAAGAAACUCUCUUAAAUGGUCUUCAUACAAGUGUCUGCACUUAAGGUGGCCAACUGUGUGCAUCUCCUUUUGGCAGUCAGUCCAUCUGUACCAACAUCAUUACAAGACCGGGGCUCCUGUGUCUCCUUUUUGAACAGUUUCUUACACUAUUUAGGGUAACAAGGGAAGAAGUACCUGUGGGGGACAUUUUGCAAUUGAUACACAUGGAUGCAUUCAAGGCCAGGCUGGAUGUGGCUCUGGACAGCCUGGUCUGGUGGUUGGCACCCUGCACACAGCAGGGGGGGUUGAAACUCGAUGAUCUUUGAGGACCUUUUCAACCCAGCCCUUCUAUGAUUUACCUUUAGCAGUAUCUCAGAAAGCCCAUACUUCUGACAUGGUACAUUUCUGAAAGUUCCCGGCAGACACUGAGCUUCCCAACACUGUUCUCAUCCAGCAAGCGAGGGGCUGAAACAUCCACUGUUCGAGAGCAGCUGCAGAAAUGAACAUUUUAGCAUUUGUUGGGACUGUAUCUGCCUGUGAAGAGAAACACACCUUUGUUUCUGACUUGUAGAAAAUGUAACUUCUACAUGGAUGUUUCUGUACCUGUACACUGAGAAAGCAGUUCUGUGAUUUCUUUUUUAUUCCGACCGUAAACAUUUUCUAAUGCAUCUCUUUGCCUUUCUUUAAAUAAACCAAUGAUAUACAAGAAAAUGUGAGUACAUUAUAGUCUAGAUUUCCUUCAAAUUAGAUGGAAUUUUAAAAAUGGAAAAUGUCAAAAUGGACAAAAAUUGUCUUAAUACUGAGAACCAGUCAUGUUUUCUUCAUAAAGCCUCCACUAUGUUACAGUUGUUUGCACAAGAUGUCUUGUUUGGAAUAGUUAAGCAUCUCCCUUUGGUUUGGACCUAUGUGAAGUUUCAGGUAAAAUUGCAGAAAUGUGCUUUUUUGAAGUAAAUUUUUUUUUAAA